rnacentral:rRNA from 1 species
AUGUUAGACGAAUAACCUGGAAAGGUUAAUCAGAGAAGGUAAAAAUCCUGUAGUCGAAAACAUCUUCCCUCCUGAGUGGAUCCUGAGUACGGCGGAGCACGUGAAAUUCCGUCGGAAUCUGGGAGGACCAUCUCCCAAGGCUAAAUACUCUCUAGUGACCGAUAGUGAACCAGUACCGUGAGGGAAAGGUGAAAAGUACCCCGGAAGGGGAGUGAAAGAGAACUUGAAACCGUGUGCUUACAAGUAGUCAGAGCCCGUUAAUGGGUGAUGGCGUGCCUUUUGUAGAAUGAACCGGCGAGUUACGAUCUGAUGCAAGGUUAAGCAGAAAAUGUGGAGCCGUAGCGAAAGCGAGUCUGAAUAGGGCGAAUGAGUAUUUGGUCGUAGACCCGAAACCAGGUGAUCUACCCUUGGUCAGGUUGAAGUUCAGGUAACACUGAAUGGAGGACCGAACCGACUUACGUUGAAAAGUGAGCGGAUGAACUGAGGGUAGCGGAGAAAUUCCAAUCGAACUUGGAGAUAGCUGGUUCUCUCCGAAAUAGCUUUAGGGCUAGCCUCAAGUGAUGAUUAUUGGAGGUAGAGCACUGUUUGGACGAGGGGCCCCUCUCGGGUUACCGAAUUCAGACAAACUCCGAAUGCCAAAUAAUUUAACUUGGGAGUCAGAACAUGGGUGAUAAGGUCCGUGUUCGAAAGGGAAACAGCCCAGACCACCAGCUAAGGUCCCAAAAUAUAUGUUAAGUGGAAAAGGAUGUGGCGUUGCCCAGACAACUAGGAUGUUGGC